rnacentral:rRNA from 1 species
UUGGAGGGCAAGUCUGGUGCCAGCAGCCGCGGUAAUUCCAGCUCCAAUAGCGUAUAUUAAAGUUGUUGCAGUUAAAAAGCUCGUAGUUGAAUUUCGGGAUCAAAUUGUCGGUCGUGCCUCGGUACGAACUGGUAUUAUUGGUUCCUACCUUCUGAAGAACCGCGAUGUCAUUAAUUUGGUGUCGUGGGGAAUCAGGACUGUUACUUUGAAAAAAUUAGAGUGUUUAAAGCAGGCUUACGCUUGAAUACAUUAGCAUGGAAUAAUGAAAUAGGACGUUUGAUUCUAUUUUGUUGGUUUCUAGGAUUGACGUAAUGAUUAAUAGGGAUAGUUGGG